rfam:Oryza sativa Japonica Group DNA, chromosome 3, cultivar: Nipponbare, complete sequence.
UUUAAGUGCAACCAUAAAUUUCCGCAUCCAACUUUGAUCGUUCGUCUUAUUUAUUUUUUUUAUAAUUACUAUUUUUGUUGUUAUGAGAUGAUAAAACAUAAAUAGUACUUUACUCUUAACUUAUGUUUUUAUUUUUUUUAAAAUUUUUUAAAUAAGACAAACAGUCAAAGUUAAACGUGAAAAAUUAUAGCCGCACUUAAA